UGUCUUAUGUGGGAGCAUAUACUUUGAUCACCUUACCUGUCUACCAUUCAUAUACAGUGUAAAAGUUUUUACUCUUUAACACUGAAGCCGGGCUAACCUGUAGUUAGCUGAGGUACCAUUAGCUAAUUUAGAAUAUUCUGACGUGUUUAGAGGCCGUUAGCUAGCUGUUUUAACCUGGAGGGCCUUGAUUAGCUAACGUUAACUCACCUGGUCUGUGAAGGUGGACGACGUUCCUCCUCUACCAACAUUAUUUAUGAGAAGCCACGGGGUCAGGCCGAGUUGAAUCCCAUGUCAGAAUUGUCCCCACGUUGACCUGCGCCUGACUGGCCUCCCAGCAAAAAGCCCCUGUGAAGAAGGCAAAAAGAGGGCCGUGCUGCUCCGAAGGUGAAAAACAUCCUCCUCCUCCUCCCCCCUCCUCUCCCCCAGCUGAACAUCUGUCUCCGCGGUGUUGGCUGCAGCACCGACUCUGACACCUCCAGAUGGAGAGCCCACUGGGAGCGCUGAGGUAUUACCAACAGAGAUGGCAGGGAUCACACCUCUGGAAUGAAGUCCCACACUUGUUUUCUGCACUGUCCCCUUUCUUUUGUUGUUCAAUCUGUCACUAUUCACCACAUCGAUUGUCACUUCCCCAGUCCUUGGCCUUGUGACUCAUCUGAAGAGGAAGCUUUUGGCUAAAGAAAAAAAAGUCUGACAACAAACCUGUCGGCCAUUUUCUAAUUUACAGUAAUGGGCCGUAUGGUAUUUCAACUGUAACUCCUAUUAGUGGAACUGUAUUAAUUUUUAAUAUAGUUGUAGGAGAACUGCAUACUCAUGCAGAUAUAUUUCAAAUGAUUGCUGAUUUCCAUUUCCUAAAAACAUCUUUUUCAGAGGAUUUAGCACAAACCUGGACUCUGACUAAAUGGCCUAUAGACUUUUUAGUCUAACUAUUAAAAGCGAUACCUGCAAAAACCUGAAGAAUGAGAGGCCUGCUGUUGACUUCUCCAAGCCACUCUGGUGUCUUGACAGAUUGACGCUGCGUUCAUUUGUGCCUGAACUCUGUGUGAACCUCAGCUUUAGGAAAAAGGGCACCAACAGGCCAGUGCUGCUGGGGCAGAAACUGUGUGUACAAACCCAACACCCAGUGCAAAUAUUGAAACUGCUGCCCCUUCACCAUCAGAUGAAACUUAGCUGGUCAGCUGGGACAAAUGUUUAGCCAAAGGUGAAGCCAAAAUGAGCACGGAAAGGUUAAAUAAUCCACUUGGUUUCUGUGUUUGUUUGUUUUUAAAGGAAAAUUAAAAACUAACUAAAGUUAUGUAAAA